UGCGGUCGGGAGGAGAAAGAGCGGGUCCUGAAGUUUCUUUCCCUCACCGCUGACUUUCCUUUUUCCAUUAGGCUAAAUGGAAGCACCUCGUGCUUUGCUGGUAGUGAUGCUGCCUGCGUCGCUGGUAAAGCGUGAAUAAAAACACUCGACUUACACUGUUCCUGACAACGUUAGGAGCAGCAUUUGAGAUGACUGCAGUGGAGAGGAUUGAGGAACAACUUGCUAGUCUGUGCAUAGCAAAACGUUCUACACUAAGUGAGGAACCUGCUUAUUUACUGGAUAUAGAUGUUUCCAAACCUGCUCAAUCUGAAAGCAGUCGCUUUGUGGCAGUUUCAUGUUCCAAUAAGUCAAUUAGGGUGUAUAACAGGGAAACGUUAAACUUCCUGCGGGAGUACAGCAGCCAUCCAGGGAUACUGAAUGGAGUCCGAUUUGCUCACACGUGUGACAGUGUAGUGUUUUCAGCAUGCAGUGAUGGUACAGUAAAAUGUUGGGAUAUUCGUUUAGCAGCUCAGAAAGCUGUGCAGGUGUUUAGUGGCUAUCCUUCCAACAUUUUCAUCAGUUUUGAUAUCAACUGCAGUGAUCUUAUCAUUUGUGCUGGAACGGAAAAAGUUGAAAAGGACACGUUUCUGGUGUUUUGGGAUGCAAGAGGCGUUACAAACAGUGCCAGCACAACUAAAGAACCCUUGGGAGUCUAUUCUGAAAGUCACAACGAUGAUAUCACUAAAAUUUGUUUUCAUCCUAUCAAACCCAAUUUGGUAGUUUCUGGGUCAACUGAUGGGUUGGUUAAUGUGUUCGACAUUAAUGAGGAUAAUGAAGAUGAUGCUUUGAUAUCAACUUGCAAUUCAGAUUCCUCUGUAAGUUUUAUUGGCUGGUCUGGGAAGGACUAUAGGCAGAUCUACUGCAUGACACACGAUGAGGGAUUUUGUUGGUGGGACAUUGCUCAGUUAGAUACAGAAGAACCAAUAACGCUGUUGCACGUUCUGGACGUCAGAGACACAGUCUGCAUUGAAAACGACAGCUUGCAUUACCUGGUAGGCGGCUUGUACCACAACAAGGCAGACAAACUCUUUCUCAUUGGGGGAACAUCCACAGGAAGCAUUCACCUGAUCAGCUGUGGCACAGCAGGACUGAGCCUGGCGGGCACCCUUCGUGGGGGACACUCUGCUGCUGUUCGCUCUUGCUGCUGGAACCCGACAGAUGAGUCUCUGCUGACGGGUGGAGAGGAUGCUCAGCUGUUGCUAUGGAAACCCGGAGCUGUGGAAAGGUCCCUCGCAAAGAAAGCAUCCAUGAAGAUAGCUUCUUCCGUGCAGAAGAGAGUAAGAGUUCACAACAGCUCCCUCAAAAGCAGGAAAAAGUAAAAUUCUGAAGAUGGGAGUCUCUGCUGUGUAGAGCUUUCCUGGUGUUUAAUCUCUUGGGCAGUACUUGGCUGUGCUUUAUUUGGGGGUAUUCAGUGGAAAGAACCACGAUGCUUGAAUUCUACCUGGGAAUGCGUUUCAAUCAUCAGAAGAAUGCCUUUCUUUGUUUGGUUUUGUUUUUGUUUUUUAAGUUGCUAAUAUUAAUCAGAAAAGAGUAAAUGUUUGCUCUUGAGCUCUCAAACAAUAGAUCUUAAAUCAUAUUAUAUAAAAAUGUUUCUGUGGUUGUUUCAUGUCUCAGCCAACAUUUUUAAUGUGUAAUAUAGGCCUGUGGCUUGCAUAAUUUGUUACCUUUCCACUGAAAUUCCCUGGCAUGUUUUAAAAGCUUUUGUAUUUCAUGCUGUAUUUUGCUUUCUUUACAGAGAACUUAAAUUGCUCAAUAUAUUAAAAGAUUUUAUGUCACAUCUUAGUGCCUGAGGGAAUUACUUCUUGAUGAAACAGAAAAUAAGUCCUGUUUUGCACUGUCAUAUCACUGGUUUAUAACAAGCUCAUAAAGAAGCAGUUAAAGCCAUUAUUUUUCAUAGCAAAGAUAUGAAUGUAUUCAACCAAAGAGGAGCACGUGAUUCCAAGCAGCUAAUUUUUAAGUGUAUGAGAACUGUUAAUCUGACAUUAUUUCCUGCGUGAAAAGACCCAAGAAGCUUGCAAGCAGCUUCAUUCUCUCCUGCGCUGCAGAUCUAUGAAGAACAAAGGCAGAAAGAAGCAAGAGAGGAAGAAGUAUGGACCCUGGACUGGAAAUUCUGGCUCUGUCAGCAACCACCCAGCUGCACAUGCCUCUGAAUUACGUUCCUGUGUUUGAAUCUGGUAACAAUUGAAGAUGUUUCUUGGGUAUUUCAGCAUUGCAAAGCCUGCAAUACUCACCAGCGUGCUGCAGAGGAUACUCAAUGAUACGUGAGCUGAUUGCCACAUCUUGAAGGAAAUUGAGUCUGACGUGUUUUAGGAUGGGAACUAUUACUUAUAAAUGGAGAUCUCAAAAUGUUGUCUUAGAAUUCUUGGACAUCUAGAGAAUGAAUAGUGUAACAUUUUAUAACAGUAAUUAGGGGAUUCAUUUGAAGAAGGAAGUCUCAAGUCUUCACUAUAACAAUGACCUUGGUGAACUGCCUCAAUUUAGGAUUGAUAAAUGAGAGGUCAGGGGAAAUGGGGAUGUUCCUUGCCGACACACAGUAUUUUUUUUUAAAGUUUGUGUAGCUGUAGAUUUGCAGUAGGAACAGAUAGAAACAGAGUUGCAUUUACUAUGCUACACUUUUAAAAAAUGUAUGCUUGGUAUACUUGAACAUGUAAAUGGAACAAUUAUGCUACCAAUGAGCCCUUAGAUGUCAAGCAGUUGCAUGGUUCAACAUUAGAUCUUUUUGACAAAACUAAGAAGGGAACAAUUAUACUUGUCAUUAUGCCAGUAUGGCAGAGACAAUACCAGUAAGAAAACCAGUGUCUUGGAUCAACUAGGAUAGUGUUUGUGCUUCCCCCAAAAUCUAGUACUAGUCAACCUAGUUUAUUAGAAAGAGAUGAACAUUUUAUAAAACAAUCUUGAUGGGUAAAUGAAGACAUAUAACAAUGUGUGGGUCAGAAGGAAUACCUCUGGAUGGCAAACCAUCAACAAGGUAAUAAUGAAGAUCUUGGGUGGUCUUCUAUAUGUGUGUGGUAUUAGAGUGACAAGAAGAUUAAAUGAUUGUUGGAAUUAAUUCUUAUAGUUGGGUUGAAUUUAUUGAGUCCUAACUGUUGCAAAUAGUAGAAAGUAUGAAGGCAAUUAAGAAAUGUAAUAGGAGCACACAGGCUUCUUACCACAUGCCAAGGAAUGAAUGGUGGCAUUUUGUUAAAACAUCUUGGCUAAAAUAAGCCCAAAUCCUUAUUUAUUUUUACUCGUGUUAUUAUUUUAACAUUUCUGUUGUGGUUUAUUGCCAGGAUGCCUAGACAGUGAGUGAACUGUAACUCUUGGUUGUUAUGAGCUAGCUCGGUGGCAAGUGCAGUGAGUGAGACCUUCUCUUCCCUUUAUGCAUUCAUCUGCCACCCAGGACACUUGUGUUUCCCAGUUUUCACCUUUUGCACCAGAUGUUCUAAGCCU